UUUUCGUUUUCUUAUUGUUACUUUCCCUUUCGAAAUAGGGUUUCUUUCAACUUUUCCUUUCAACAAUUAGGGUUUCUUUCUACUUUCCCUUUUGAAAAGCUCAAUCACUGUCACCACCCAGAGGUAGAGGAAAGAUACACCAUCAUUCGCCGUUGAUCGCUCUGGUCCAACCUCUUGUUCGCCGUGUCGUCUUCGUCGCACCGCUGUCAUCUUCGUCACGCCACCAUCGUCCAACCAAGACAAGUCUUCCAGGGAAGAGAUAGAGAGCAUUGUCGGAGCAAGUGAUGGACCGAGCAGAAAAUUGAAGCACAAAAUUUGCGUUCGUAGAGUUACAAGUGUAUGCUGAGAAAAUUACACAUACUUACAGAGAUAGAGAAAGAGAGAGAUAGAGAGAGAUAUAUAAAUAGAUAGAGAAGCAUUAGUGGCGGUUUCUUCCCCAUUAAUAUAAAUGGAUUCAGAUUACCAACGAAGGUUUUGGGACUUGGAGAUAUCGAGGGCAAAGGUUAAUUGUAGAUCGAACUUUUGGAAAGCCGUAUCAGAUAUUAAGUUCAAGCUGACUCCAGCCCAAAUAAAAAAGUUCGAGGAUAGCUGUUUUGGCCACUUUUUGAAGACCAACGAGAUACAAUUUAGUGGCCACAUCAUCAACAGCAUGUUGUAUAGGUAGUGUGUUUGCGACGACAAGGAUUCUAUGGUAUUCAAUUUUGGAGGGCAUGGUGCUAGAUUUACGUGGAGAGACGUCAACAUAAUUACAGGUCUACGGUUUGGUUAAGAACCUAAUAGGCGAGUUAACAUCUCUACUCGUAUUAGUGACAUAUAUUUUGGCAGAAAGCGAAAGGUCACUAACUCGGAGAUGACCGUAGCUUUCAUGACCACACAGUGUCAAGGUGAUGAUGAAGCCGACGAUGAUAGAUUGAAGUUGGCUUUAUUAUAUUUCCAAGAGACAGUUCUUCUAGGCAAAGAAAGCAUGGCCAUCGCACCUCAUAAUCACUUGGAGAUGGUGGACGAUUUAGAGUACUUCAAUAACUAUCCAUGGGGUACUUUAUCAUAUACUACCACCAUUAGAUAGUUGAAUAGUGCUUUUGAGCAUAGAGAGUCCAUGGCUUUAAACAAGUCAAAGGGUUAUAGUCUUUGUGGGUUUCCUUUGGCUUUCAUGGUAAGUUUGUUACACUUGUAUUUAUGGUGUGUAUUUCUUUACUUAUUCAUUAUUAAUUAAUUGUUUGACAGAUUUGGGGUUUUAAGACAAUUCCUUCGUUAGGUCAAGCAUUGGGAAAGAAGUUGCCGGACAUGGCAUUCCCUCGAAUUCUUAAUUGGCAUAUUUCACAAGUGCUAAGAUUUAGGCUACUGAACUCUUCGAUCAUCGUGAUUAUCCCGUUCAUGGCUUAAUGAAUGUAACUGAAUUUGAGCAUGCAUAUAUCGGCAAAAUUGCAUGGGAUGUAUGUCAUGACAGUACUCCAUACAAUGUUGCACCUGCUGUCCGAGACAAGCCACCACAGGCAAGUCAUGAUGAAAAAGAUGAAGGUCUUCCACUUACAAGAGGUGGAAGAAGUAAGAAAUGAAAGAGGCAUCUGUGGAAAUUAUGGGUAAAGCAGGGAGGCGGUGAAUGGGAGAUAAGCCGACAGACCAGCCUUCAUCAUCGACUGCAGGAGUUGCUGCUCAUGUUUGUGUUAAACCAUCGACUCCAUCCCAACCUCCAAUGACUCCAUCCCAUGAUGAGGUACCUUUGAGAGAGAGAUUAACUAUCCUUGAAGGCGAAGUGGCUAAUGUACAGCAAGAUGUUAAGGAUUUAAGAAUCCCCAUGCUUAGAGAGUUUGCAAGUUUAGACACCAAGCUUGAUAAGUUAAUGAAGCACCAAGGAGUGGGAGUUGGUGCUGACGGGUUGGGAGAUGGGAUGGAAGCGGACGUUGAAGGGGAUGAAAAUAAAGAAGAGUUUGGUCCCAAUGCAACCCCCGUUGAUAGACAGUCACGUCCAUCUGUUGUAGAUGAUGCAGGACCAAGUGUUACGAUUAUCGAGAAAGUAUCUUCAUCAAAGUUUCCUGUUAGGAGACGUGCAAGAAAGGUAGCAGUUGCUAAGCAAAAUAUAGAUAUUGGGAGGUGGGAUAGGAAGGCGGCAGCAGCUAUUACAACUCCUUACAGUGUUGGAGGAUUGCGGAAAAAACUACAUCGCACUUUACCAGGUGCAUCUUCUACUUUGAAGUUUGACCCAUACACACCAGUACCCACGCGACUUGUAAAAAUUUUUGACCAAUUUAUGAAGUCCAGUUAGGCAGCAAAGUUUGAUAUGGACAUUUUGUCUACGGGUAAAGACUUUUUCCAGUUGCUUAUAACCAGUGAGAAGUAGCUGAAUCACAAUCAUAUGGAAGUCCUACCUUAUUUCAUGUACGUGCCAAUCGAUUCCCUGAUGUUUUUUAUCCUAGUUUUGAGGUGAUAGAUGGAGGAUUUUGGGUAUACAUUGAGCAGUGUUAUGGAAAGUUCCUCGCCAAUCCAUCUAAGUUCCAAUUCUCAUAUGCAAUGCAAGAAUAUGUAUUGGGGAUUUGAAUGAAGGAGUCGAAGCCAUGGAAAUGCGUAAAUCAUUUGUUGAUUCCACUAAACAAACACAACAUACAUUGGUUGGUAGGGCACGUGGACUUGAAAGAGCGUCGUAUGACUGUAUAUGACUCAGAUAAGGCUGGCAACCGAAACAGGAGAGAAAUUUAUUUCCAGAAAUUAUGCAUUAUGUUACCAUAUUUACUGCGGUCUGCAUCCUUUUAUGAGCAGCGGUCGGAUCUUGUAGACUCCGUUGAUGAGUUUACAUGUGAAUUGGCACAAAAUUCCCCUCAGCAAAGUAACGGUGAUGACUGUGGCAUGUUUACACUCAAGACCAUCGAGUUUUUACAUGCUAGAUUACCAGUGACAUUCACACAAGAUGACAUGGAGUUCUUUAGGAAGAAGUAUGCAUAUGAGGCUUACAACAAAGAACUAAGCAUAUGAGCUGGGUGGUGAUG